AUGAUAAGUUUGAAUUGUUUUGACGUGUUGUGUUUUGUGCUUUUUUGGAUCUGGUUUUGGUUUAACGGUUUUAAGCAAGUUUGGUGGACUGGCGCAACAGAUUUCAGACAGUUUUGUAGUGGUGCAGGGCAGAAAAUACAGGUUUUGGACUGGUCACGGUUUUGGCAGCAAGGUGCAGCAGGUGUUCUUGAUAGAGUUUUUAUUUUUUUGCUUAUUUUGUGA